rnacentral:rRNA from 1 species
GCCCAGUCGUGGGGGAUAACGCAGCGAAAGCUGUGCUAAUACCGCAUACGAUCUCUGGAUGAAAGCGGGGGACCUGCAAGGGCCUCGCGCGAUUGGAGCGGCCGAUAUCAGAUUAGCUAGUUGGUGGGGUAAAAGCUCACCAAGGCGACGAUCUGUAGCUGGUCUGAGAGGACGACCAGCCACACUGGAACUGAGACACGGUCCAGACUCCUACGGGAGGCAGCAGUGGGGAAUUUUGGACAAUGGGCGCAAGCCUGAUCCAGCAAUGCCGCGUGCAGGAUGAAGGCCUUCGGGUUGUAAACUGCUUUUGUACGGAACGAAACGGUUCUCUUUAAUAAAGAGGGCUAAUGACGGUACCGUAAGAAUAAGCACCGGCCAACUACGUGCCAGCAGCCGCGGUAAUA